rnacentral:lncRNA from 1 species
UUCAACUCCCGGUGCUUUUGCAAAAUAUUUUCCUAUAGUAAUGUACAGUCUCAUCAUUUAUUUAUUUUUAAUAAGGUAAAUUGUAUGUACAGUCUCAUCAUUAUUGAUUCCUAGCCACAUAUUUAUCAGAAGACCGUGAAUUACAGCAUGAUGGACCAUGGCAAGUUGUUCUGCGCCAAAAAAUAAACACAAGAAAAUGUUCACUACAUCUUGUAACUCUAGGCUGAGCAACAUCCAACAUUUUCACUCCUGCUUUGCACUAAAGUGGCCAACUCUUCAAUCAUAUAAGGGUACUACAUCAUAUUCCAACCUGAAAAAAGAUCGUGUGUCAAUAGGGUAAAAAAGUAAUAAUACUUCCUUAAUUCACUACCAUUUAACCUUGCAACUCAUUUUGAUAGCCUCGUAAAAUUAAGGCCAUAACCACAUUGUACCUUAGUAUACAACUACCUUUAUCAUCCUCAAGGCUCAAAGAACGGUUGAGGAAGAGAACAACAACAACAACAAUGUGGAAGAGCUAUAUGUCAAGCUCAAAAAGAAAGUAAUUAGCAUCAGCCUCACAGUAAUAAAUACAUUAAUAUAUUAUCGAACAUUACCAACAAUAUAGUAACGAUAAACAAUUGUUAACUUCAAUUAUUGAUGUAAGUCGUUUCAAAGGGAUGAUCUACUCUCAAAUAAACACCAGUUAAAGUAGACAGCUAAAGCUAAACAGAUACCAUAUUCUAAUAUUGGCAAAAGCAAAGAGAAGCUCCAGCAUUAACAAGCCCAUAAAGUAUAUAAUGCGAGUGUUAAAUUACUUCGAAAAGCUAACUAUUACUCAAGGAACAAAAUGAACAGAAAAUACACGGCUGAUUCAAUAAGCCAAUAUCAAACUGGAUAGAUUUUUGCCGCAUUUUUCACAAGUUAGUGAAUCCUAAAAAAGAUUAUGACUCAAGCAGCUAGUGAAAUUCAAUGUAAUUGCUCCAACUGUCCAUCUUUGGCUUUUAAUUUCUAGCUACAAUGAAGAUUUAAUCAAAGAUAUUUACGCAAGUCAAAGUCAAGUGAGACAUACAUCUGUGACCAAAAUAAAUUGGUGACCAUUUGACCCAACUUGAACUUCGACUAAUUUAUAUCAGUAGUUAAAUAUGUAUAUUUCAACUCUGGAUAAGGCUUUAUUUUUAACAAUAUAUGAUAGGUGAUUGACAUUUCAUUGCACCCUUCCAUGCUUUAUCUUCUAGUUCUUUUUCCCCUCAAAACUAAUAUUCAUAUUUUUUAGCUCCUUAACUGCAACAUGUUUCGUAUGCUUGUGCUUUAUAAAAACUAAUUUCAUGCUUUAGAUCUAAAUAAAUCUAUGGGAGCCAAAAAUUAAUAACCAGACAAAGAAUAUCUUUGUUACUUACUUAUGAAAGUGCUUAUUGUCCAAAACUUUUCGGAGCCAAAUUUCAGAAAAAAAUAUGGGAAAUUUUCCUACAUAAUUUUCAGCAGAAAGGUUAAUGUCUCCGAAAGAGAGACUUGAAUUGUUUAAUUAAGUACGGUAUCUUAGUUGUUUUCAUUUAUUUGUUAAACUCAUAUACAAACAUUGCCCAAAGCUAAAGGCCUCAUAUGCGGCAAAUUUAGACAUCAAUAGUUAAACAUCUAUUUUCAACUCAAAUAAGAAGGAUCAUAGGUAUAGUGUUGAAGAUAAAUUACAGUAACACAUUUAUAUACCGAGACACAAAGUAGCAGAUUGACGCCAACAUGGUUACAUUUGUAGAGAAAAUGUUGAAAGAAAGCAUAGUCUACAACAAGCAACCUACAUAACUGAUAUGUACCAGUUUUAUAAUCAAAAAUAGAUAGUAGCAAUUUCAUAAAAAAAAUUCUCAUAUCAUUAAUCAUGUAAAGCGGGAAUUAUAAACUCAAUAAUGAGAACCUUCUUAAUACUUUCAAAUGUAUACUCAAUAUAGAAUUUCUCUAGCAAGUUACCUGGGGGAUCCAAGGUCAAAAUAUCAUCACACUUGAUGUUGGACUCACCAUAUUUGUUUGUCUUCUCCAAUGUGGAUAGGAAAUAAUGUCAAAUAAUUUUAUUGAUGUUCCUAUUUUUAAAGUAUUAAAUGAUAUAAAAAAAGGCAAUGAUUAACUUUCUUUCGAUAUUAACUAUUAUACCCAAUCGGUAGACAUUUGGAAAGUCAGAAGAACCAAUUUCAGAUCGAGAGAACAAAAUUUUAAUAAUUUUUCAGUAAGCAGCAAAUAUCACAAAUAGAGGAUGCACAAAGUCACCAAAAUGCUUAUUUUAAAACAAUACGUUUAAUUGUUAAAUGCUCUUGACUAUAUAUGCACAAUCAUCAUUGUUAUUAAUAAUUCACAACUGAUUCUUUCGUCUUUUGCUUCAAAAUCAAUUGAAGCAUCUCCAAGAAUUCAUUGUAUGUGGUUACCAGAAGCUCCAUUUAGAGAGGCAUACAAUAAUAUGGGAGGUCACAGAAACAUAUGAUUCUUUGUUGGCUAGUGAAAGAGAAGACUUUGAUUUUCAAAUGCAUCUCAACCAAACCACAAAUUUCUUGAACUGCUCCAUAGAAAGAGUAAGCAGAGCAUCAGAGAAGCAUUUGUCUUUUCAGCCUUUCAUGUGGAGAAAACAACAACAACAACAACAACAACCCAGUGUAAUCCCACAAGUGGGAUCUGGNNNNNNNNNNNNNNNNNNNNGGUGGAGACAACCAAGUCAAAACUUACUACCAACGGUUACAUUCCAAUAAAUCAAAGCGACUUUUGAUUCUAGAAAGAAGAUGUAGAGUAGAAAAAAGGUUCAGUUGAAGAAUCCAAUUUAACUCACCGGAAGUAGGACGAAAAGGUCUUACUUGAUGCGUAUUGACCUUCUGGAAAUCAACUAUGUAAAAAUCAAAUAUUCAGAAUCAAACACACUAAAAUAAAAAAAACAAAAAAAAAAACACAAAUGCAAAUAUAAUUUUAUUGGAUUUAUGAAGUAUCUAAAUUACCAAAAUGAAGAUUGUAAAUCGAUAAUCCACUAUGUGAUUUAGACUCGUCAUUGUUGAUUUAGAAUAAAGAAUCUAAAUCGAUACUCUCCAAGUUCUCCGCCUGCACCCCAAAGUAUGUAAUUAGUCUUAACUUUUCACCAGAUUGGUUACUUUAACAUCUCUUUUCAUGCGUUUGGUAAAACCCAUUUCUCAAAAGAAGCCAUAUCGUACGUUACACAAUCAAAAUUUGAAAGAAAAAUCUGAACUCUAAAAAAUAGAAUCGAAUGAUACAUGCUCACUCAGACAGAACAAAACAAACUAAACAGAACACAAAGAUCCACUUAAAAAAGGGCAAAAAUAAAAUUUUAAAAAUUUCAAAAAUCAAGGUCAAAAGCACCAGAAGACUGUUGAAGUAUGAAAAGAAAGUACGGAGGGUGAGUAAGUGAAAGAAGAGAAUACCGUGUAACUGAAAAAUAAUAAUAAGAAGAAGAAGGCGACAAAAUCCGGCCAUGUAGUCACUUGCUGGAGUUCCCGGAAGAUUCAAGCCCCAAAUUAUACCAUUUUGGAAUACUCCAAAUGAACCCUUGAAGUGGUCGUGACAAGUAUAUUACACGUGUUUGAUACGUGAGGUUAUAAGGAUACGAAUGGUGUCAGACAAUUGUUUAUGUUUCUGCUCAUGUUCUGGGCAAUAGAUGCCAUAUAAACAUGAGAAGUUUAAAAGUUUAUCAGAAUCCUUUUGGUAGUAAAUAUAAAGCAAGACAAAACUUUGUGAAGCAUUUUUAGGAUUGAAAGAUUAGGCUCAAUUGUAGUAAUUACCAUGUAAUUAUAUGCUUAUGAACCCAGUCCUUGACAAAGAGUUAAAUUGGGUUUUUCCUUUCUUGUGUCUGCUACCACACUGCAAAUGAUAAUGGACUCAACUAAAGCAGUGUGUUCGCCUCCUUCACAAAAGAGCACUCUGUUCUGCAAGUAUCAUCUUCUUCUUCUCGUAGAUUUUGUUCUCUUAAUCACUAAACCAAUCACUAAUGCUCAAAAGAAUGAAUUAUCCUUUUUAUCAAUCUCAAACAGGGUUCAGAAAAGCGCCCGCUUCCUCGCUUUAAGCGAGAAGCGAAGUGGAGCGGGAGGUUGGGCGCUACUCCAAUUAAAAGCGGCUCAGGUAAAGAAAAGCGCCCGCUUCUCUCUAAAAAGCGAGAAGCGGUGAAGCGGAUCGAAGCGGUCACUUUUUGAAUUAAAAGACCUAAAGUCUUUUUUCAAUUAAAAGACCAAAUCGCUGACUUCUGUUCCAGACCCAGUAGUUUCUUCGACUUCUUCAACAGCAAACUAGGGUUCUAAACUAGCGAUUUCUUCCUCACUAAAACGGUAAAACCAGCAAUUUCUUCAAGCAAACUAGGGUUCUUCUUUUCUUCUUCAACACUACAACAACAGCUUUCAAGUUUCAACAGGUAUGUUUUGCUUUUGCACCAGAUAAAGAACUGGACAUGGGCUUAGAAUAAAGGAACCUAAAAUUGAUAAUGUACAUACUUGGCAUUUUCUGGUAGUGUUGUUGAGUACAUCCAAAAUGUACUUCCUUGCCUUCGAGUUCUUGCAUAAACAUGAACUCUCCAGUUUCUUGCUUAAUACAUGCUAAAUCUUCAAUUCUCCUAUAACUACUACGACGAGCUGGAAGGAUUUCAUGAUGCUUUGUUAUACCUAAAUCAUUUGACCAGAUGGCGUGAAAAGAAAAUUGUGAAGAUUAUCAAUGUCAAAGAAACAUGCGAUAAGGCACGAAUAGAUAUAUAAAAACCCCACUAAUAUAAGGAAAAUAAGUAAAGUAGGCCACAAUGACCAAAACAGAAGAUCCACAAAAGAACAUUAGGAACUUUACACCAAAAAAAGCAGCCAAAACAGCAGAGAAAAAUUCAGAGACGGGUUUAGCAAGAAAAGUGAAAACUUCAUCUCUUACUCUUCAAAUACGAGUCACCUAGAAAUCACUAUCAAAUGGCUUCUCCAUUAGAGGCCAUUCCCGUUUCUUUCCUUGAAGUCGAAAAGCAAUCGAAUGCGCAUUCGGAAACUUCAAUUGUUUGAACAAUCUAUGUAAUGAAAGUAAGAGAUGAAGUUUAAUUGAAGAUUAAAACCCUCAAUUUCAAACCCUAGCCUAAAAUCUCAAAUUCCUAGAUGAAAUUAUAAUGUGAAAGAUAUUACCUGCAUGCAAUGAUUUAGGGAAUCUUUGUUCCAAGUCAGAAUUUGGUUCCCAUACUACAAAUCUGCAAUAAAACCCAAAUGGCAGAAGUGAAAUUAGUAAGCAAAAAGCUAAGUGGAAGAAGAAGAACAAAUAAACUCAGCAAAGGAUGGAAUGAAAAAGCAGAAGGAUCUCUGAUUGCAAAGAGGAACCAGAAGGAAAAGCAUAAGCCUAACACACCUGGAAGUCAAUAAGGUUAUAC